AACGCUAGCUACAGGCUUAACACAUGCAAGUCGAGGGGAAACGACAUCNAAAGCUUGCUUUUGAUGGGNGUCGACCGGCGCACGGGUGAGUAACGCGUAUCCAACCUGCCCACCACUUGGGGAUAACCUUGCGAAAGUAAGACUAAUACCCGAUGAUAUCUCUAGAAGACAUCUGAAAGGGAUUAAAGAUUUAUCNGNGAUGGAUGGGGAUGCGUCUGAUUAGCUUGUUGGCGGGGUAACGGCCCACCAAGGCAACGAUCAGUAGGGGUUCUGAGAGGGAGGUCCCCCACAUUGGAACUGAGACACGGUCCAAACUCCUACGGGAGGCAGCAGUGAGGAAUAUUGGUCAAUGGGCGAGAGCCUGAACCAGCCAAGUAGCGUGCAGGACGACGGCCCUAUGGGUUGUAAACUGCUUUUAUAAGGGAAUAAAGUGAGUCUCGUGAGACUUUUUGCAUGUACCUUAUGAAUAAGGACCGGCUAAUUCCGUGCCAGCAGCCGCGGUAAUACGGAAGGUCCGGGCGUUAUCCGGAUUUAUUGGGUUUAAAGGGAGCGUAGGCCGGAGAUUAAGCGUGUUGUGAAAUGUAGACGCUCAACGUCUGCACUGCAGCGCGAACUGGUUUCCUUGAGUACGCACAAAGUGGGCGGAAUUCGUGGUGUAGCGGUGAAAUGCUUAGAUAUCACGAAGAACUCCGAUUG
rnacentral:rRNA from 1 species